rnacentral:rRNA from 1 species
UAUAGAGGCCACAAGCGUUAAUCGGAAUCACUGGGCUUAAAGGGUGCGUAGGCGGAUUCGCAAGCGUCUUGUGAAAGCCCCCGGCUCAACCGGGGAACUGCAGGGCGAACUGCGAGUCUUGAGGCAGGUAGGGGCCGCGAGAACAGUAGGUGGAGCGGUGAAAUGCGUAGAUAUCUACUGGAAUGCCGAUGGGGAAGCCGCGCGGCUGGGCCUGACCUGACGCUGAGGCACGAAAGCGUGGGGAGCAAACAGG